AUGAACGCUGGCGGCGUGCUUAACACAUGCAAGUCGAACGCUGAAGCCCAGCUUGCUGGGUGGAUUAGUGGCGAACGGGUGAGUAACACGUGAGUAACCUGCCCUUAACUCUGGGAUAAGCCUGGGAAACUGGGUCUAAUACCGGAUAGGAGCGUCCACCGCAUGGUGGGUGUUGGAAAGAUUUAUCGGUUUUGGAUGGACUCGCGGCCUAUCAGCUUGUUGGUGAGGUAAUGGCUCACCAAGGCGACGACGGGUAGCCGGCCUGAGAGGGUGACCGGCCACACUGGGACUGAGACACGGCCCAGACUCCUACGGGAGGCAGCAGUGGGGAAUAUUGCACAAUGGGCGAAAGCCUGAUGCAGCGACGCCGCGUGAGGGAUGACGGCCUUCGGGUUGUAAACCUCUUUCAGUAGGGAAGAAGCGAAAGUGACGGUACCUGCAGAAGAAGCACCGGCUAACUACGUG
rnacentral:rRNA from 1 species